rnacentral:rRNA from 1 species
GGUCAAGCGAACAAGUGCAUGUGGUGGAUGCCUUGGCGAUCACAGGCGAUGAAGGACGCGGUAGCCUGCGAAAAGCUACGGGGAGCUGGCAAACAAGCUUUGAUCCGUAGAUGUCCGAAUGGGGAAACCCACUCCGUAUGGAGUAUCCAUGGCUGAAUACAUAGGCCAUGUGAAGCGAACGCGGUGAACUGAAACAUCUAAGUAACCGCAGGAAAAGAAAUCAACCGAGAUUCCCAAAGUAGUGGCGAGCGAAAUGGGAAGAGCCUGUACUCUUUAUUUGUAUUGUUAGCCGAACGCUCUGGAAAGUGCGGCCAUAGCAGGUGAUAGCCCUGUAGGCGAAAACAGUAUGAAAGAACUAGGUGUACGACAAGUAGGGCGGGACACGUGAAAUCCUGUCUGAAGAUGGGGGGACCAUCCUCCAAGGCUAAAUACUCGUGAUCGACCGAUAGUGAACCAGUACCGUGAGGGAAAGGCGAAAAGAACCCCGGGAGGGGAGUGAAAUAGAUCCUGAAACCGCAUGCAUACAAACAGUCGGAGCCUCGCAAGGGGUGACGGCGUACCUUUUGUAUAAUGGGUCAGCGACUUACGUUCAGUAGCAAGCUUAACCGAAUAGGGCAGGCGUAGCGAAAGCGAGUCCGAAUAGGGCGUUCAGUUGCUGGGCGUAGACCCGAAACCAGGUGAUCUAUCCAUGGCCAGGAUGAAGGUGCGGUAACACGUACUGGAGGUCCGAACCCACUAACGUUGAAAAGUUAGGGGAUGAGCUGUGGAUAGGGGUGAAAGGCUAAACAAACCUGGAAAUAGCUGGUUCUCUCCGAAAACUAUUUAGGUAGUGCCUCGUGUCUCACCUUCGGGGGUAGAGCACUGUCAUGGUUGGGGGGUCUAUUGCAGAUUACCCCGCCAUAGCAAACUCCGAAUACCGAAGAGUGCAAUCACGGGAGACAGACAUCGGGUGCUAACGUCCGGUGUCAAGAGGGAAACAACCCAGACCGCCAGCUAAGGUCCCCAAAUAUGGCUAAGUGGGAAACGAAGUGGGAAGGCUAAAACAGUCAGGAGGUUGGCUUAGAAGCAGCCACCCUUUAAAGAAAGCGUAAUAGCUCACUGAUCGAGUCGUCCUGCGCGGAAGAUGUAACGGGGCUAAGCCAUAUACCGAAGCUGCGGAUGCGAGCUUGCUCGCAUGGUAGGAGAGCGUUCCGUAAGCCUGCGAAGGUGCCUUGUAAAGGGUGCUGGAGGUAUCGGAAGUGCGAAUGCUGACAUGAGUAGCGAUAAAGGGGGUGAAAGGCCCCCUCGCCGUAAGCCCAAGGUUUCCUACGCAACGUUCAUCGGCGUAGGGUGAGUCGGCCCCUAAGGCGAGGCAGAAAUGCGUAGCUGAUGGGAAGCAGGUCAAUAUUCCUGCACCGUCGUUAGAUGCGAUGGGGGGACGGAUCGCGGAAGGUUGUCCGGGUGUUGGACGUCCCGGUCGCUGCAUUGGAGAAGGCGCUUAGGCAAAUCCGGGCGCAGGAUUCAAGGGUGUGGCGCGAGCGACUUCGGUCGCGAAGCAAUUGGAAGUGGUUCCAAGAAAAGCCUCUAAGCUUCAGUCUAACGAUGACCGUACCGCAAACCGACACAGGUGGGCGAGAUGAGUAUUCUAAGGCGCUUGAGAGAACUCGGGAGAAGGAACUCGGCAAAUUGGUACCGUAACUUCGGGAUAAGGUACGCCCUGGUAGCUUGACUGGCCUGCGCCAGGAGGGUGAAGGGGUUGCAAUAAACUGGUGGCUGCGACUGUUUAAUAAAAACACAGCACUCUGCAAACACGAAAGUGGACGUAUAGGGUGUGACGCCUGCCCGGUGCCGGAAGAUUAAAUGAUGGGGUGCAAGCUCUUGAUUGAAGUCCCGGUAAACGGCGGCCGUAACUAUAACGGUCCUAAGGUAGCGAAAUUCCUUGUCGGGUAAGUUCCGACCUGCACGAAUGGCGUAACGAUGGCCACACUGUCUCCUCCCGAGACUCAGCGAAGUUGAAGUGUUUGUGAUGAUGCAAUCUACCCGCGGCUAGACGGAAAGACCCCAUGAACCUUUACUGUAGCUUUGCAUUGGACUUUGAACCGAUCUGUGUAGGAUAGGUGGGAGGCUAUGAAACCGGAACGCUAGUUUCGGUGGAGCCGUCCUUGAAAUACCACCCUGGUUUGUUUGAGGUUCUAACCUUGGCCCGUGAUCCGGGUCGGGGACAGUGCAUGGUAGGCAGUUUGACUGGGGCGGUCUCCUCCCAAAGCGUAACGGAGGAGUACGAAGGUACGCUAGGUACGGUCGGAAAUCGUGCUGAUAGUGCAAUGGCAUAAGCGUGCUUAACUGCGAGACCGACAAGUCGAGCAGGUGCGAAAGCAGGUCAUAGUGAUCCGGUGGUUCUGUAUGGAAGGGCCAUCGCUCAACGGAUAAAAGGUACUCUGGGGAUAACAGGCUGAUACCGCCCAAGAGUUCAUAUCGACGGCGGUGUUUGGCACCUCGAUGUCGGCUCAUCUCAUCCUGGGGCUGUAGCCGGUCCCAAGGGUAUGGCUGUUCGCCAUUUAAAGAGGUACGUGAGCUGGGUUUAAAACGUCGUGAGACAGUUUGGUCCCUAUCUGCCGUGGGCGUUGGAUAUUUGAAGGGGGCUGCUCCUAGUACGAGAGGACCGGAGUGGACGAACCUCUGGUGUACCGGUUGUCACGCCAGUGGCAUCGCCGGGUAGCUAUGUUCGGAAGAGAUAACCGCUGAAAGCAUCUAAGCGGGAAACUCGCCUUAAGAUGAGAUAUCCCUGGAGGCUUGACCUCCUUGAAGGGUCGUUCGAGACCAGGACGUUGAUAGGUCGGGUGUGUACGCGCAGUAAUGCGUUCAGCUAACCGAUACUAAUUGCCCGUAAGGCUUGAUCCUA